rnacentral:rRNA from 1 species
UCAAGAGGGAAACAACCCAGACUACCAGCUAAGGUCCCUAAAUCUUACUUAAGUGGAAAACGAUGUGAAGUUACUUAAACAACCAGGAGGUUGGCUUAGAAGCAGCCAUCCUUUAAAGAAAGCGUAAUAGCUCACUGGUCUAGUGAUUUUGCGCGGAAAAUAUAACGGGGCUAAAGUAAGUACCGAAGCUGUAGACUUGCACACAACUUAGAUUAUUUAAGUUUAGAAUAUGAGAAACUAAGUUAUAUGUUUAGUUAUAUUUUUACUGAUUUUUAUAGAGUAAAGAUAGAAAUAAAACUUAGUAAAAUCAGUAAAAAUAUUCUUAGACUAAAGUUAAGUAGUUUAAGUUGUGUGCAAGUGGUAGGAGAGCGUUCUAUUUGCGUCGAAGGUAUACCGGUAAGGAGUGCUGGAGCGAAUAGAAGUGAGCAUGCAGGCAUGAGUAGCGAUAAUUAAUGUGAGAAUCAUUAACGCCGUAAACCCAAGGUUUCCUACGCGAUGCUCGUCAUCGUAGGGUUAGUCGGGUCCUAAGUCGAGUCCGAAAGGGGUAGACGAUGGCAAAUUGGUUAAUAUUCCAAUACCAACAUUAGUGUGCGAUGGAAGGACGCUUAGGGCUAAGGGGGCUAGCGGAUGGAAGUGCUAGUCUAAGGUCGUAGGAGGUUAUACAGGCAAAUCCGUAUAACAAUACUCCGAGAACUGAAAGGCUUUUUGAAGUCUUCGGAUGGAUAGAAGAACCCCUGAUGCCGUCGAGCCAAGAAAAGUUUCUAAGUUUAGCUAAUGUUGCCCGUACCGUAAACCGACACAGGUGGGUGGGAUGAGUAUUCUAAGGCGCGUGGAAGAACUCUCUUUAAGGAACUCUGCAAAAUAGCACCGUAUCUUCGGUAUAAGGUGUGGUUAGCCUUGUAUUAGGAUUUACUCCGAAAGCAAGGAAACUUACAACAAAGAGUCCCUCCCGACUGUUUACCAAAAACACAGCACUCUGCUAACUCGUAAGAGGAUGUAUAGGGUGUGACGCCUGCCCGGUGCUCGAAGGUUAAUUGAUGGGGUUAGCAUUAGCGAAGCUCUUGAUCGAAGCCCGAGUAAACGGCGGCCGUAACUAUAACGGUCCUAAGGUAGCGAAAUUCCUUGUCGGUUAAAUACCGACCUGCAUGAAUGGCGUAACGAGAUGGGAGCUGUCUCAAAGAGGGAUCCAGUGAAAUUGUAGUGGAGGUGAAAAUUCCUCCUACCCGCGGCAAGACGGAAAGACCCCGUGGACCUUUACUACAGCUUGACACUGCUACUUGGAUAAGAAUGUGCAGGAUAGGUGGGAGGCUUUGAGUAUAUGACGCCAGUUGUAUAUGAGCCAUUGUUGAGAUACCACUCUUUCUUAUUUGGGUAGCUAACCAGCUUGAGUUAUCCUCAAGUGGGACAAUGUCUGGUGGGUAGUUUGACUGGGGCGGUCGCCUCCCAAAUAAUAACGGAGGCUUACAAAGGUUGGCUCAGAACGGUUGGAAAUCGUUCGUAGAGUAUAAAGGUAUAAGCCAGCUUAACUGCAAGACAUACAAGUCAAGCAGAGACGAAAGUCGGUCUUAGUGAUCCGGUGGUUCUGUGUGGAAGGGCCAUCGCUCAAAGGAUAAAAGGUACCCCGGGGAUAACAGGCUGAUCUCCCCCAAGAGCUCACAUCGACGGGGAGGUUUGGCACCUCGAUGUCGGCUCAUCGCAUCCUGGGGCUGGAGCAGGUCCCAAGGGUAUGGCUGUUCGCCAUUUAAAGCGGUACGCGAGCUGGGUUCAGAACGUCGUGAGACAGUUCGGUCCCUAUCUGCCGUGGGCGUAAGAAGAUUGAAGAGAUUUGACCCUAGUACGAGAGGACCGGGUUGAACAAACCACUGGUGUAGCUGUUGUUCUGCCAAGAGCAUCGCAGCGUAGCUAAGUUUGGAAAGGAUAAACGCUGAAAGCAUCUAAGCGUGAAGCCAACUCUAAGAUGAAUCUUCUCUAAGCUCUCUAGAAGACUACUAGUUUGAUAGGCUGGGUGUGUAAUGGAUGAAAGUCCUUUAGCUGACCAGUACUAAUAGAGCGUUUGGCUUAUCUUUAAUAAAGCAU